CAAAGUUAUCAGACUGGUUCACGUUGAGUCAAUUAUCACCAAGAGAGGUGAGGAGUUAUGUUAUUACAUGCGACCCACUCUGCGCCUUUCACCUGCAAUAAUAUUGAAUAGAAGGAGUGAGCAUUCAUAAAUAUAUUUUUUUCACCGGAUGCGCACUCUCCAGCAUAAUGCAUGUUGGUGCAUUAACUUUGGAGUAAAUGAAGAAUUCCACCCGACUGAAGUAUAUCAUUAAUCACUGGCUGAUUUAAAUAUUAUGGAUGAGAUUGAUGGACGUUCUAUGCUCGAAAGGAACAGUGAGACGAUAAUAAGCUGAAGAAUGUUAACAACUACGACAAAUAAACAGAGAGAGUCUCGCCCAACUAACUUUUAUGUAGACGUGAACAAAAAUCCUUCUCCCAAUGUGACGUAAUUAACGAUGAAUCAAUUAUAAAUAUUAUGCUGCAGACGGGGGGAAGAAGUAAGAUUUGAUACUCAAUAAGGUACAGAAAUUGUUUAAUAAUAAUGAGAUUUAAUUCUAUCUACAACACUUCACCCUUGUUCAUGACUGGAUUUGAAGCUCGUUCAAUUGAUUUCGCAAUGUGUGCUCCACUCCUCCUCCUAAUAAUUUAAUCUGUCUACUAAAUACCAUCUUCUGGCUUACCUGGAAUAUUUUACAUGAAAACUUGACUGACUCACUGGUAGCACUGCUAUUCCUCGGUAGCAGUAGAAUUCAAUUACACGUAUAUGAGCGAGUAUAAUAAGUGCUGAUAUAUAUAUUUUAUGGCAUGGAAUUAAUAAUGAGCAAUCGUCUGUAAAUAAAUCAUGAAUCAACCAAUAUCAUGAGAGGGAUGAAUCGUUCAGAAAGAGAAUCUUGCAGAUUUCUGUAUAAAGUCAUGUACAUGAAUAUUGGAUGUUUAAAAAAAAUAUAAUUCUAGUAAAUGCU